rnacentral:rRNA from 1 species
AGAGGUUGACCCGGCGCAUCGGGACUGAGACACUGCCCGGACUCCUACGGGAGGCUGCAGUAACGAAUAUUGGUCAAUGGGCGAAAGCCUGAACCAGCGACGCCGCGUGUGGGAGGAAGCCCUUCGGGGUGUAGACCACUGUCAGGGAUUACCAAGCAAUGGAGGCUAAUACCCUCCUGCGUUGAGGCGUCCCAGAGGAAGUCACGGCUAACUUCGUGCCAGCAGCCGCGUGUAAUACGCAACGGUGGCGAAGCCGUUGUUCGCGAAUCACUGGGCUUAAAGAGCACGUAGGCGUGACUGCCAAGCGUCUUGUUGAAAUCCCCCGGCUCAACCGGGGAAUUGCUGGGCGGAACUGGUAGUCUUGAGGCAAGUAGGGGCAGAUGGAACUCUUGGUGGANCGGUGGAAUGCGUAGAUAUCAAGAGGAACGCCAGAGGCGAAGGCGAUCUGCUGGGCUUGACCUGACGCUGAGGUGCGAAAGCCAGGGGAGCAAACGGGAUUAGAUACCCCGGUAGUCCUGGCCAUAAACGAUGUCCACUAGAUCGGUGAACUUCUGACAGUGUGCCGGUCGAAACAAAAGCGUUAAGUGGACCGCCUGGGGAGUACGGUCGCAAGGCUAAAACUCAAAGGAAUUGACGGGGGCUCACACAAGCGGUGGAGCAUGUUGCUUAAUUCGAUGCAACGCGAAGAACCUUAUCCUGGGCUUGACAUGCUUGGAUGCCCAUCUGGAAACAGAGUAGGCUGCCCUUCGGGGUGAAACUUGCACAGGUGCUGCAUGGCUGUCGUCAGCUCGUGUCGUGAGAUGUUGGGUUAAGUCCCGUAACGAGCGAAACCCUUGUCGUUAGUUGCCAGCGCGUAAUGGCGGGGACUCUAGCGAGACUGCCGGUGUUAAACCGGAGGAAGGUGGGGAUGACGUCAAGUCCUCAUGGCCUUUAUGCCCAGGGCUGCAAACGUGCUACUAUGGCGAGGACAAACCGACGCAAAGCCGCGAGGUCGAGCAAAUCGGAGAAACCUUGCCCCAGUUCGGAUUGGAGUCUGCAACUCGACUCCAUGAAGUCGGAAUCGCUAGUAAUCGCGUAUCAGCGUGACGCGGUGAAUAUGUUCCUGAGCCUUGUACACACCGCCCGUCAAGUCAUGGAAGCUGGGAGC